CAGUCGCCACGGGAAUACGAAGGGGGCUAGCGUUGCUCGGAAUGACUGGGCGUAAAGGGCGCGUAGGCGGCGAUCAAAGUCAGGCGUGAAAUUCCUGGGCUCAACCUGGGGGCUGCGUUUGAUACUUGAUUGCUAGAGUGGGGAAGAGGGUCGUGGAAUUCCCAGUGUAGAGGUGAAAUUCGUAGAUAUUGGGAAGAACACCGGUGGCGAAGGCGGCGACCUGGUCCUUGACUGACGCUGAGGCGCGAAAGCGUGGGGAGCAAACAGGAUUAGAUACCCGUGUAGUCCCUGUCUCUUAUAC
rnacentral:rRNA from 1 species